rnacentral:misc_RNA from 1 species
AAGUCGUAACAAGGUAACCGUAGGUGAACCUGCGGUUGGAUCAUUAUCAAAAGAAGUACUUUAGAGUACCCUUUAACCGCUGGGGACUGCCUAAACAGCAGUUUCUAGUCAACCAUGUGUGAACCGUUUAUUGUCUCUGGCAGUCUCUGCUCGCUAGUAGCAGGUACUUGUACUUGUUGCCCGCAGCACCUGCCAGUCUAUUUGUUAAACACCUUUUUUUAACCCCGUCUUAAUCAAAUCAUUAAAUUUGAAACAACUUUUGACAACGGAUCUCUUGGCUCUC